CCCUAGUAGGAUGAGAGGAAGAAAACCGAGGUAUGCGUCUCCAUAUCUAUUAGGAUGUGCGUGCAGGGAGAUUGGUUAGAACAUGAAACAGUUGUUGAAGAAAACAAGUUCUUAGUAAGACCAAUCGUCUACCACAGAAUUUGUUCUCAGAGCAAAACAGAUCACUCAUGAAAUGAUCAGCUAGUGAGAUGGAAGCACACGAUACCAAUCACUUUUGCAACGCCAAGAGCAAAUCCAAUGGAGGAGUAGGCAAAGGACAUGAUAGCUGCAAGAACAGAGAGCCAUGCCAUGUCAUGGAAAUCUGGAAUCUGGGAGACCACUAUCUGAACAACCCCAAACAUCAGCAUGUAGAAGCUAUCUCCAUACGAGCACGGAGCUCUGCGUCCCUCUCUAUGGUAACAGUCUGACCUCUGAAUCGCCCUGCGCGCACACACACACACACACAUCAAAGCAUAACAGAUUGAGACUACCGCCAUACUGCAAGUUCAUCAUACUGUAUCAGUGUCUGUGGAUGCACCUCAUGCUGAUCGAAGUAGUGAUAGUGUACGCUAUCCCAGUUCCAUACAUGCUAAAGUACUGCAGGAACCCACAAAUCCAUGUCUGCUUCUCACCUGCACCACGAGCAAAUCGUCGAACACUGGGUUCCAUGGAAGGAGUUUGGCUAUGGGAGACUACCUAGGGUGACUCUGACAGCAUCCAUGUAAGAGUAGUUUCUGGUUCCUGUGACAGGGUGGGGCGACCUGUAGCAGUCCGAGAGGAGGAAGGCGGAGACGAAGGUGACGAUGGCGAAGCAGAGCAUGGACACAGGGCCGGCGAUCCAACCCAGCUGGGCAGUGCUCCACGCGAGGGAGAGCACGCCGGAGCCGAUGACGGCCGUUAUGAUGUGCGCGACGCAGGUCCAUAUCGUCCCUGAUCCAGUCGUCUCGCCAUAGUCGGAUCGAGGUCAGAAAACAAGGAUUUCGAUUACGGAAGCAGGUAAAAAGGAAAUGGAAGGUUAAGAUUACCGGUUCUUCUCUGGUGGCCGUCGUCGUCGCAGGAAGCAGCAGCAGCUAUUUCGAGGGACUCUUCGACUGCCAUUGCUAAGCGCAGUUGAGGCUGUGACAGCUCUGGCGGCGCAGACGCGAGGCCGAGGGAGAUUGGCUUGCCAAAGAUGGUUACAAGAGUGUAGUGUGCAAGCUUUAAUGACUUAAUUAUAUCGUUCAUUGAUGUUGAAAUACCAACCAUUGUUUUACACCAUUUCAUAUAUAUAUUAUUUAUGAUGUGGACCAGAUA